UACGAAAGGUGCAAGCGUUACUCGGAAUUACUGGGCGUAAAGCGCACGUAGGCGGAUUGUUAAGUCAGGGGUGAAAUCCUGGAGCUCAACUCCAGAACUGCCUUUGAUACUGGCGAUCUCGAGUCCGGGAGAGGUGAGUGGAACUGCGAGUGUAGAGGUGAAAUUCGUAGAUAUUCGCAAGAACACCAGUGGCGAAGGCGGCUCACUGGCCCGGUACUGACGCUGAGGUGCGAAAGCGUGGGGAGCAAACAGG
rnacentral:rRNA from 1 species